rnacentral:rRNA from 1 species
GCUAGCAGCCAUAUCAUGCUGUAACUCACAACUGAAGUUAAGAAAGUGUGAGCCUGGUCAGUACCUGGAUGGGAGACCUCCUGGGAAAAACUAAGGUUGCUGCUGGAA